rnacentral:tRNA from 1 species
GAAAUAUAUUAAAAAUAAAGUUUCUAACUUUAUGAAUAGAUUAUAUAUUUUUAACCUAUAUUUCU